rnacentral:rRNA from 1 species
GACAGAGGAUGCAAGUGUUAUCCGGAAUCACUGGGCGUAAAGCGUCUGUAGGUGGUUUAAUAAGUCAACUGUUAAAUCUUGAGGCUCAACUUCAAAAUCGCAGUCGAAACUAUUAGACUAGAGUAUAGUAGGGGUAAAGGGAAUUUCCAGUGGAGCGGUGAAAUGCGUAGAGACUGGAAAGAACACCAAUGGCGAAAGCACUUUACUGGGCUAUCACUGACACUGAGAGACGAAAGCUAGGGUAGCAAAUGGG